ensembl:lncRNA
CGCCUGGACAAAAGGAACACCUAUGACCUGAGCCCUAGGACCAUGCCUCAGAACUACCUGGCAUGAUGACUCCUUGAUGUCCCCAGUCCAUCUGGCCGUGCUGCUGCUCCAGUUUCAACUGUUCUGCCUGCGGCUAUGAACCCUGACCUGUUCACCGGACGUGCUACCUGUCCCAGACCUGCUGUUUUCAACUCUCUAGGGACAGCAGGAGCGGUAGAGAUACUCUCAAUGAUCGGCUAUGAAAAGCCAACUGACAUUUACUCCUGAGGUGCUAACUUGUUGCACCCUCGACAACUACUGUGAUUAUUAUUAUUUGACUAUGCUGGUCAUUUAUGAACAUUUGAACAUCUUGGCCAUGUUCUGUUAUAAUCUCCACCCGGCACAGCCAGAAGAGGUCACCCCUCAUAGCCUGGUUCCUCUCUAGGUUUCUUCCUAGGUUUUGGCCUUUCUAGGGAGUUUUUCCUAGACACCGUGCUUCCACACCUGCAUUUCUUGCUGUUUGGGUUUUUAGGCUGGGUUUCUGUACAGCACUUUGAUAUACCAGCUGAUGUAAGAAGGGCUAUAUACAUACAUUUGAUUGAUUGAUUUGAUGACACCGAGGAAGCUCACAAACCCGCUCCACUACAGCCCUGUCGAUGUGAAUGGGGGCCUGCUCGACCCUCCAUUUUCUUUAGUCCACGAUCAGCUCCUUUAUCUUGCUGAUGUUGAGGGAGAGGUUGUUGUCCUGGCACCACACUGCCAGGUCUCUGACCUCCUCCCUAUAGGCCGUCUCAUCUUCGUCAGUGAUCAGGCUUACCCCCUUCUUGUCUUCUGCAAACUUAAUGAAGGUGUUGGAGUCAUGUGUGAAC